CGGGGUGUAGCGCAGCCUGGUAGCGCACUUGGUUUGGGACCAAGGUGUCGCUGGUUCGAAUCCAGUCACCCCGACCA
rnacentral:tRNA from 1 species